rnacentral:rRNA from 1 species
GACGAACGCUGGCGGCGUGCUUAACACAUGCAAGUCGAACGGAAAGGCCCUGCUUUUGUGGGGUGCUCGAGUGGCGAACGGGUGAGUAACACGUGAGUAACCUGCCCUUGACUUUGGGAUAACUUCAGGAAACUGGGGCUAAUACCGGAUAGGAGCUCCUGCUGCAUGGUGGGGGUUGGAAAGUUUCGGCGGUUGGGGAUGGACUCGCGGCUGAUCAGCUUGUUGGUGGGGUAGUGGCUUACCAAGGCUUUGACGGGUAGCCGGCCUGAGAGGGUGACCGGCCACAUUGGGACUGAAAUACGGCCCAGACUCCUACGGGAGGCAGCAGUGGGGAAUAUUGCACAAUGGGCGGAAGCCUGAUGCAGCAACGCCGCGUGCGGGAUGACGGCCUUCGGGUUGUAAACCGCUUUCGCCUGUGACGAAGCGUGAGUGACGGUAAUGGGUAAAGAAGCACCGGCUAACUACGUG